rnacentral:rRNA from 1 species
CGGUAAUUCCAGCUCCAAAAGCGUAUAUUAAAGUUGUUGCAGUUAAAAAGCUCGUAGUUGAACUUUGGGCCUGGGCGGGCGGUCUACCUAUGGUGAGUACUGCUUCGGCCGGGUCUUUCCUUCUGGCUAGCCAUUUGGCGAACCAGGACGAUUACUUUGAGGAAAUUAGAGUGUUCAAAGCAGGCCUUUGCUCGGAUAUAUUAGCAUGGAAUAAUAGAAUAGGACGUAUGGUUCUAUUUUGUUGGUUUCUAGGACCAUCGUAAUGAUUAAUAGGGACGGUCGGGGGCAUCAGUAUUCAGUUGUCAGAGGUGAAAUUCUUGGAUUAACUGAAGACUAACUACUGCGAAAGCAUUUGCCAAGGACGUUUUCAUUAAUCAAGAACGAAAGUUAGGGGAUCGAAGAUGAUCAGAUACCGUCGUAGUCUUAACCAUAAACUAUGCCGACUAGGGAUCGGGUGGCGCUAUUUUGCCCACUCGGCACCUUACGAGAAAUCAAAGUUUUUGGGUUCUGGGGGGAGUAUGGUCGCAAGGCUGAAACUUAAAGGAAUUGACGGAAGGGCACCACCAGGAGUGGAGCCUGCGGCUUAAUUUGACUCAACACGGGGAAACUCACCAGGUCCAGACGUAAUAAGGAUUGACAAGUUAGAGACUUCUCUUGAUCUUACGGGUGGUGGUGCAUGGCCGUUUUUAGUCCUUGGAGUGAUUUGUCUGCUUAAUUGCGAUAACGGACGAGACCUUAACCUGCUAAAUAGGGCUGCGAGCAUCUGCUCGUGGGCUCUUCUUAGAGGGACUAUGGGUAUCAAACCCAUGGAAGUUUGAGGCAACAACAGGUCUGUGAUGCCCUUAGACGUUCUGGGCCGCACGCGCGCUACACUGACGGAGCCAGCGAGUCUAACCUAGGCCGAGAGGUCCUGGUAAUCUUGUGAAACUCCGUCGUGCUGGGGAUAGAGCUUUGUAAUUUUUGCUCUUCAACGAGGAAUUCCUAGUAAGCGCAAGUCAUCAGCUUGCGUUGAUUACGUCCCUGCCCUUGUACACACCGCCC